rnacentral:ribozyme from 1 species
GUUUCUUUCUUUCUUUUCUUUUCUUUUCUUUUCUUUUCAUUUUUUUCCCUCCAAGAGUUAUGGAAAUUUUCAGAAACCAAAUGGAAUCAUCAAGCAAACAAA